rnacentral:snRNA from 1 species
GGAUGUGAGGGUGAACUGGCUGCAACAUCUAUCACCCCAUUGAUUGCCAGGGUUGAUUUGGCUGAUCUGGCUGGCUAGGCAGGUGUCCCCUUCUUCCCUCAGCUCUCCAAGUGCAUCCCUCCCGAAGCUGUAAGCUCAGUCGAAGAGGACUACCUUCUCCAAUAGAGGAGGAUCGUUCUUCAGUCAAGGAUACACGAGUAGAUGCACUCUCUUGCUAGAACCUCCAAACAAGCUCUCAAAAUGACCUUUAUACUUAAUCAAGAGUUCUUGUGCCUGUCAUCUCCAUACUUGGAAUCUCAAUAACCUAU